rnacentral:rRNA from 1 species
AUCAUCUACACCGACGAGGAGGCCUACUGGCGCCGAGGUACCCAGGCGUGGGACCUCCAGGGCGACGCUAAUACGGCAUACUUCCAACUUUCCGCAAUUGCUAAUAGGCGUUGCAACACCAUCCCCCUCCUUUAGGACGGUGAUGACCUCCUCCAAUGGCCGUCUGACAUUCGCGCCCACGUCGAUUGAUUCUACAAAACCCUCUUCUCCCACUCCCCUAGGGGAGGAGUGGCCCUUGCUCCUAAUACUUGGACGGGCCACCAGCUUGUUUAGACAGUGGAUAACGCCGCCCUCACGGCCCCUUUUGCCGAGGAGGUCCUGGCGGCCAUUAAUGCCAUGAAUCCGGCAUCCGCCUCGGAGCCCGAUGGUCUCCCGAUGAAGUUCUUCCAGUCCUUCUGGAGUGUCAUCAAGCCAGAAGUUAUGGCACUGUUUGAGGAGUUCUAUGUGGGCUCCAUAGACCUUACCCGGCUUAAUUACGGGAUUAUCACUCUAAUCCCCAGUGUGCCCGGGGCCUCAGACAUCCGCCAAUUUCGCCAGAUCACGGUGAUAAAUGUGAUCUUCCACAGUCUGGCAAAGGGGUACGCCUAUAGGGUGAUCGAUCCCAACCAAUCGGCCUUCAUCCAAGACCGAUACAUCUUGGAUGGGGUCUUGGUUUUCCAUGAGGUCCUUCAUGAGGUCCAUGCUAGACAACAGAAGGCGAUCUUCUGA